UACGGAGGGUGCGAGCGUUGUCCGGAAUCAUUGGGCGUAAAGGGCGCGUAGGCGGUUCGUCGCGUCGGCUGUGAAAACCUGAGGCUCAACCUCAGGCCUGCAGUCGAUACGGGCGGACUUGAGUACUGCAGGGGAGACUGGAAUUCCUGGUGUAGCGGUGAAAUGCGCAGAUAUCAGGAGGAACACCGGUGGCGAAGGCGGGUCUCUGGGCAGUAACUGACGCUGAGGAGCGAAAGCGUGGGGAGCAAACAGG
rnacentral:rRNA from 1 species